AGAGUUUGAUCCUGGCUCAGGACUAACGCUGGCGGCGUGCCUAACACAUGCAAGUCGAACGGUAACAUGCGCUGUAGCAAUACAGUGUGAUGACGAGUGGCGGACGGGUGAGUAAUAUAUACAUAAUCUACCUUUUGGACGGGGACAACCCAGGGAAACUUGGGCUAAUACCCGAUAAGAUACCGAGAGCAAAUGCUCUUGGUAUGAAAACACUUAGAUGGCCGAAAGAUGAGUGUAUAUCUGAUUACNUAGUUGGCGGGGCAACUGCCCACCAAGGCGAUGAUCAGUAGCUGGGUCUGAGAGGAUGUACAGCCACACUGGAACUGAGACACGGUCCAGACUCCUACGGGAGGCAGCAGUGAGGAAUUUUGCUCAAUGGGCGAAAGCCUGAAGCAGCGACGCCGCGUGAAUGAUGAAGUCUUUCGGGAUGUAAAGUUCUGUCAGCAGGGACAAUAAUGAUGGUACCUGCAGAGGAAGCACCGGCAAACUAUGUGCCAGCAGCCGCGGUAAUACAUAGGGUGCAAGCGUUGUCCGGAUUUACUGGGCGUAAAGAGCGUGUAGGCGGUAAGAUAAGUCAAACUUCAAAAUCUCUUGGCUCAACCAGAGAUCGGGUUUGAUACUGUUUUGCUAGAGAAUGGGAGAGGAAAGUAGAACUAACAGUGUAGCGGUGAAAUGCGUAGAUAUUGUUAGGAAUACCCGUGGCGAAGGCGGCCUUCUGGACCAUUUCUGACGCUGAGACGCGAAAGCGUGGGGAUCAAACAGGAUUAGAUACCCUGGUAGUC
rnacentral:rRNA from 1 species